AACGAACGCUGGCGGCAUGCCUAACACAUGCAAGUCGAACGAGACCUUCGGGUCUAGUGGCGCCCGGGUGCGUAACGAGUGGGAACCUCCCCUUAGGCUCGGCAUAACUACCCGAAAGGGGUUCUACUAACGGAUAAUGUCUUCGGACCAAAGAUUUAUCGUCUUUGGAUGGGCCCGCGUUGGAUUAGCUAGUUGGUUGGGUAAAGGCCUACCAAGGCGACGAUCAGUAGCUGGUCUGAGAGGAUGAUCAGCCACACUGGGACUGAGACACGGCCCAGACUCCUACGGGAGGCAGCAGUGGGGAAUAUUGGACAAUGGGGGAAAGCCUGAUCCAGCAAUGCCGCGUGAGUGAUGAAGGCCUUAGGGUUGUAAAGCUCUUUUACCCGGGAUGAUAAUGACAGUACCGGGAGAAUAAGCCCCGGCUAACUCCGUG
rnacentral:rRNA from 1 species